GGGGAAUAUUGGACAAUGGGGGCAACCCUGAUCCAGCAAUGCCGCGUGUGUGAAGAAGGCCUGAGGGUUGUAAAGCACUUUCAGUGGGGAGGAGGAUUGUUUGUUUAAGAGAUGAAUGAUUGGACGUUACCCACAGAAGAAGCACCGGCUAACUCCGUGCCAGCAGCCGCGGUAAUACGGAGGGUGCAAGCGUUAAUCGGAAUUACUGGGCGUAAAGAGUGCGUAGGUGGUUGAGUAAGUUAUCUGUGAAAUCCCUGGGCUUAACCUGGGCAGGUCAGAUAAUACUGCUUGACUCGAGUAUGGGAGAGGGUAGUGGAAUUUCCGGUGUAGCGGUGAAAUGCGUAGAGAUCGGAAGGAACACCAGUGGCGAAGGCGGCUACCUGGCCUAAUACUGACACUGAGGCACGAAAGCGUGGGGAGCAAAC
rnacentral:rRNA from 1 species